UCGGGCCUCUUGCCAUCAGAUGUGCCCAGAUGGGAUUAGCUAGUAGGUGGGGUAACGGCUCACCUACGCGACGAUCCCUAUCUGGUCUGAGAGGAUGACCAGCCACACUGGAACUGAGACACGGUCCAGACUCCUACGGGAGGCAGCAGUGGGGAAUAUUGCACAAUGGGCGCAAGCCUGAUGCAGCCAUGCCGCGUGUAUGAAGAAGGCCUUCGGGUUGUAAAGUACUUUCAGCGGGGAGGAAGGUGUUGAGGUUAAUAACCUCAGCGAUUGACGUUACCCGCAGAAGAAGCACCGGCUAACUCCGUGCCAGCAGCCGCGGUAAUACGGAGGGUGCAAGCGUUAAUCGGAAUUACUGGGCGUAAAGCGCACGCAGGCGGUCUGUCAAGUCGGAUGUGAAAUCCCCGGGCUCAACCUGGGAACUGCAUUCGAAACUGGCAGGCUAGAGUCUUGUAGAGGGGGGUAGAAUUCCAGGUGUAGCGGUGAAAUGCGUAGAGAUCUGGAGGAAUACCGGUGGCGAAGGCGGCCCCCUGGACAAAGACUGACGCUCAGGUGCGAAAGCGUGGNGAGCAAACAGGAUUAGAUACCCUGGUAGUCCACGCCGUAAACGAUGUCGACUUGGAGGUUGUGCCCUUGAGGCGUGGCUUCCGGAGCUAACGCGUUAAGUCGACCGCCUGGGGAGUACGGCCGCAAGGUUAAAACUCAAAUGAAUUGACGGGGGCCCGCACAAGCGGUGGAGCAUGUGGUUUAAUUCGAUGCAACGCGAAGAACCUUACCUACUCUUGACUUCC
rnacentral:rRNA from 1 species